rnacentral:misc_RNA from 1 species
AACGCACAUUGCGCCCGCUGGUAUUCUGGCGGGCAUGCCUGUUCGAGCGUCAUAAUGACCAACUCACGCUCCGCGUGGUCUUGGGGUCCGCUUCCGGGCGGCCCUUAAACGCAGUGGCGGUGCCGUGCGGCUCUCAGCGUAGUAAUUCUUCUCGCUACAGGGUCCGGACGGUGCUGGCCAGCAACCCCAACUAUAUAAGGUUGACCUCGGAUCAGGUAGGGAUACCCGCUGAACUUAA